rnacentral:lncRNA from 1 species
UUGAAUUAUAAGCAGCCCACAGUCCAAAAGAGGGGUUGGAGAGAGGCAGCUGGAGCUGACCGUGGUCAUCCUUCCAUAGCAGUUGUGGUCCUUGGAAAAGUUUUCUGGUGGGAGACAAAAAUCUGCCUUCCUGAAAUUUCCACCCUGUGGUUCCAGCCUGCUGGCUGCAGCAGCCAUUCUGAAAGCAGAGAUUUGCCCUUGGCUCCCUGAAUAUCACUUUCUGGGGUUGAGAGAUCACAUGCUGUGGAGGAAGCCAGACGCCAUGUUGUGAAGGCACGCAAACAGCCUACAGAGGUCCACAUGGUGAGGAACUGAGGCCUCCUGCAAACAGCUAGCAAUGACUUGCCAGGCAUAAGUAGCUACUUUGCAAAUGGGUCUUCCAGCUCAUCAGGCAUUCAAAUGACUGUAGCCUGACUGACAACUGACUGCAACCUCCUGAGACCUUGAAUCAGAACUGCCCAGCUCCCAAAUUCCUGACCCAUAGCAUCUGUGGGGUAUAAUAAAUGUUUCGGAAUAAUUAAUUACGCUUCAAUAGACAAUUGACACACA